AUGUGUGAUUUUGUUUGAUGCAAAUAUCAUGAAAAGAUGUGUGAUUUUGCCCAUGGAGCGGGCUCAUUUACCAGUGUUCUAAGGCAAUUUUUGUUGUUACUACUGCAUGUGGGUCUUAUGAAUGUUCCAAUCUUAUCCUUUGCUUCUUCUUUAUUUAUCUAGUAAUCUGUUCUCCCUGGGAAUUCUUUCAGGGGCAAAGCAAUAUCUGUAUUUCUAGUUUCAUCCAGUCAUUUUGGGAAAACAACCAUAUUAGAAGCUACCUCUUUGGUGCUGGUGCUGUCACAGCAAUUGCAGCAAAUCCACCGUGGGUUGUUAAGACCAGACUCCAAGGAGGUUGGAUCUUGUUAUCUACAGUUUCUUUCUAACCUAUUGAAGUAGAUUAGUGAAUGCUUUUAGUUUCUGCGUGCUUGACUUGAAAACAAAUACUUGUAUCUAUAACUUGUGUAUGUAUUACUAUUGCAGAAUUCUGUAGUUGUAAUUAAUUUUGUCGGAGAAUGUUCUCCUGUUGGCUGUACA